rnacentral:lncRNA from 1 species
AGGGGAAGCGCAGUAUGCACACAGGCCCUCCCGAAAUCACUGCUCUCUCUCCUGAUUGCACAGCGACAACAGCUGAAGAUAAACAGCAAUCGAUUUUUUGGAAAGGAUGAGAAAUGCGGAGCGCGCUAUUUCAUAAAGCAGCCUAAUGUAAAAGGCAAGCCGAAACAUCACGCAAGCCGAAACAUCACAGAGUCAAAACCAAACGUAGUCAAAACAAAACAUAAUGUGUCAGCAACAGUGGCCGACAUGGAAAAGAGUUUUACACUUCCAGACUCUCCGAUUGUCUUAGGUGAAAUUCUCACUGCAACUCAUUGGAUGCUGAGUAUUGAGGGCCAAGUGGUCGUGAAUCCACACCCCAACUUUGUGGCAGGAUUUGCUGCUUUGUUUGCAUCAUACUACAUCUUCAAUCUGGUGUACCAGCAUGAGGCAUCCUGCACACUUGAGUUUAUCCAGAGGUAAAAAAAUUACUUUACUAUGCAUGUGUGUAUUUAUAUUACUUAAAUAUAAAAGUUAGAGGUUUCUUUCACCCAAAAAUGAAAUUUCAGUCAUUUAUCGCUCUCCCUCGUGUCAUUCAAAAGCCAUAAGACCUUUGUUCAUCUUUGGAACACAAAUAAAUAUUUUUUAAAGAAGUCCA